CAGUCGAGCGAGCUUGCCUAGAUGAUUUUAGUGCUUGCACUAAAUGAAACUCGAUACAAGCGAGCGGCGGACGGGUGAGUAACACGUGGGUAACCUGCCCAAGAGACUGGGAUAACACCUGGAAACAGAUGCUAAUACCGGAUAACAACACUAGGCGCAUGUCUAGAGUUUGAAAGAUGGUUCUGCUAUCACUCUUGGAUGGACCUGCGGUGCAUUAGCUAGUUGGUAAGGUAACGGCUUACCAAGGCAAUGAUGCAUAGCCGAGUUGAGAGACUGAUCGGCCACAUUGGGACUGAGACACGGCCCAAACUCCUACGGGAGGCAGCAGUAGGGAAUCUUCCACAAUGGACGAAAGUCUGAUGGAGCAACGCCGCGUGAGUGAAGAAGGGUUUCGGCUCGUAAAGCUCUGUUGGUAGUGAAGAAAGAUAGAGGUAGUAACUGGCCUUUAUUUGACGGUAAUUACUUAGAAAGUCACGGCUAACUACGUGCCAGCAGCCGCGGUAAUACGUAGGUGGCAAGCGUUGUCCGGAUUUAUUGGGCGUAAAGCGAGUGCAGGCGGUUCAAUAAGUCUGAUGUGAAAGCCUUCGGCUCAACCGGAGAAUUGCAUCAGAAACUGUUGAACUUGAGUGCAGAAGAGGAGAGUGGAACUCCAUGUGUAGCGGUGGAAUGCGUAGAUAUAUGGAAGAACACCAGUGGCGAAGGCGGCUCUCUGGUCUGCAACUGACGCUGAGGCUCGAAAGCAUGGGUAGCGAACAGGAUUAGAUACCCUGGUAGUCCAUGCCGUAAACGAUGAGUGCUAAGUGUUGGGAGGUUUCCGCCUCUCAGUGCUGCAGCUAACGCA
rnacentral:rRNA from 1 species